rnacentral:rRNA from 1 species
UACACUCCUACGGGAGGCAGCAGUGGGGAAUAUUGGACAAUGGGCGCAAGCCUGAUCCAGCCAUGCCGCGUGAGUGAUGAAGGCCCUAGGGUUGUAAAGCUCUUUCACCGGUGAAGAUAAUGACGGUAACCGGAGAAGAAGCCCCGGCUAACUUCGUGCCAGCAGCCGCGGUAAUACGAAGGGGGCUAGCGUCGUUCGGAUUUACUGGGCGUAAAGCGCACGUAGGCGGACUAUUAAGUCAGGGGUGAAAUCCCGGGGCUCAACCCCGGAACUGCCUUUGAUACUGGUAGUCUUGAGUUCGAGAGAGGUGAGUGGAAUUCCGAGUGUAGAGGUGAAAUUCGUAGAUAUUCGGAGGAACACCAGUGGCGAAGGCGGCUCACUGGCUCGAUACUGACGCUGAGGUGCGAAAGCGUGGGGAGCAAACAGGAUUAGAUACCCUUGUAGUCCCAUG